ensembl:lncRNA
CAGAUCUAUGCAUGAAAUCAUCAGCAUUUGAAAAUUCCAGCUAUAAGACAUGCAAUCAGGUUUCUCCUUAAUGACACCAGCUAUUCAACUACAUCAUACCUCCAGACCUUCAAGUGGCUUCUCAGAGAAUUUCAAGCCCAGUUCAUAGUCUGUUCUUUGUUGACAGAGUUCAACAAGCCCUGUGAGAAGGAGACUAGAGAAAUAUGAAAAAAACAUUCAAGACUCCACGAACAUCUUCAAGUACCUUGCUCCUUUGGACAGUGGAGCUGUCAUAUGUAUAGGUCAUAUCACAGAAACAUUAUAGAAUCAUAAAAUGGUUUGGGUUAAAAGGGACCUCAAAGACCAUCCUGUUCCAACCCCCUGCCAUGAGUGGGGUCAUGAACGACUAAAUCAUGCACCAGAUUAGGUUGCCCAGGUCCCCAUCCAACCUGGCCUUGAAUGCCUCUAGGGAUGAGGCAUCCACAUCUUCUCUGGAAAUCCCUAGGUGAGAGAUAAAACUUCCUUGGAAACCAGUCUAAGUGCAAAGAUGAGCCCUUGAGUAAGAAAUUACGUCCACGAAACUCACUUCCAUCUACUCCGAGUCCUUUCUUCAAGCUCACCUUCUUUUGUAUCUUAAUCACGCAGUGUAUGAACUCCCUUUCUCAAAAGAACCCAACCAAUCCAACAAACACCAGUGAAAGGGAAAGAAGCAAAGAACAAACAAUUUUUUCCAGUGAUGGGGACAACAUAAGAAGCAGUAUAAGAAGAGAACUGCAUAAGAAUGAAAAUCUAUGCUUAUGGUCUCAGUGCAAAUAUUACUUCUUAAGGAACAGUGGGCCUUGCAGAGCGCUAAUUACGGAUGAAACCAGUCUAAGCCUUUAAAAGAAAAGAAGGACGUACAGGAGGAAAUCCACAGCAUUUGACUGGACCUGCAGUUCCAAUUCAGGACCAUUCCUUGGAAAUUCAGACUGAGGCCACACAACAGCAGAGCCCAGCUGAUGCCAUCAACACAACUAGGAAUCUCUUAGCACUCACCUGCAAGCAAAUCUCCAUGUAAGUGAUGAGACUGGAGCCAAUACACGAACAAGAAGGAUCUGGGGACUCCCAAGCUCCCUUCCAAAGCCAGCAGAGUUGUAUGAGCUGCUACCUUAGCAUCUCCUUGGAGCUGGGCCAGCACAUCAAGGGUGAAGAGGAGUUGAAUCCUGCCUUUAGCUCUGGCCCUGGUUUUCCACGUGGGGUUCCUCUUCCAAUGAAUGCAGCCACACACCACUCCAGAUGUUCAAAGAGGGACCAGCCUCCCACAGACCCUAUGGGAAUGAUGAACAAAAGGACAGUGAGCAACGACGUGUCUUCAAAUCUUCAGUUCACAAGCCACCAUGAGCUGUUUGCCCUGUACGUUAUAGGAAGCAAAGCAUAAUCUCAGCUGGGUCACAGGUGAACAAGUAGGUGCUGUUGCCCUCAGGCAGCUUGACGGGAUACCAUCACCUACUGGACACAGCGUGUUAAAGAUGAACCUCCUUUAAAAUAGCUAAUGACCUUCAGCCUGCUAACUCCAUGUGUGCCCAGCUGCUUGUUAGAGGUCAAGAAAUGCCUGGUUAAAAGCUCCUGCCCCAACUCCCACCCAGCAUGGCCAAGUCUCCUGAGACUUGCUUGGCAGCCCAACCACAUAUGGAGCUGAAUCACAGUACACAUUCCUCCACUGGGGUCCUCUCAAUGUUAGGAGACGACAUGGCCUGCCCCAAUGGACAUGGGAAUAGUUUUUCCAGAAAACAUAUUGACAUAUAGGAAGAAAGUUCUCUGCAUCAGCCAAUGCAGAGCCCUCAAACAGGGGUAGGAUGCAUCCAAACUUGUAUUAUUAUUAUUUAAUAAACAAGUUAUUGUGCCUUUUUCUUGAAUCCACAAUAGGAAAAAGGUAGAUGUGGCACCGAGGGAUAUGGUUAGUGGACGUGGUGGGGAUAGGUUGAUGGCUGGGCUAGAUGGAAAAGAUCUUAGCGGUCUUUUCCAAACUUAAUGAUUUUAUGAUUCUAUGAAGGAAUAAAUCAAACGGCUUUUUGCAUCCAUCAUCUCUUUAGACAGGACUUGCACAGUGCUCUCAGCUGCUGAAAAGCCUCACUAACCUAAUCUAAGUGAAAAUUUAACAAUCAAA